rnacentral:rRNA from 1 species
UUCGUAGGCGGCUAUGAAGGUGGGGUGUGAAAUCCCUCGGCUCAACCGAGGAACUGCGCUCCAAACCACGUGGCUUGAGGGAGACAGAGGUAAGCGGAACUGAUGGUGGAGCGGUGAAAUGCGUUGAUAUCAUCAGGAACACCAGUGGCGAAGGCGGCUUACUGGGUCUCUUCUGACGCUGAGGAACGAAAGCUAGGGGAGCGAACAGGAUUAGAUACCCUGGUAGUCC